GGUCUCAUGGUGUAAUGGUUAGCACACUGGACUCUGAAUCCAGCGAUCCGAGUUCAAAUCUCGGUUAGACCU
rfam:Ixodes scapularis strain Wikel colony gcontig_1108379715912, whole genome shotgun sequence.